UAAGGAAUAUUGGACAAUGGUCGCAAGACUGAUCCAGCCAUGCCGCGUGCAGGAAGACGGCGCUAUGGGUUGUAAACUGCUUUUGUACCAGAGAAAACCUAUCUACGUGUAGAUAGCUGAUAGUAUGGUAAGAAUAAGCAUCGGCUAACUUCGUGCCAGCAGCCGCGGUAAGACGAAGGAUGCAAGCGUUAUCCGGAUUCAUUGGGUUUAAGGGGUGCGUAGGCGGGCUUGUAAGUCAGUGGUGAAAUCUCUCAGCUUAACUGAGAAACUGCCAUUGAUACUGCAGGCCUAGAGUAUAGAUGACGUUGGCGGAAUAUUACAUGUAGUGGUGAAAUACUUAGAGAUGUCAUAGAACACCGAUUGCGCAGGCAGCUAACGAAACUAUAAC
rnacentral:rRNA from 1 species